AAAUGGAGCAGCCACUUUGGAAGACAGUUUGGCAGUUUCUGACACAAGCUAAACAUACUCUUGCUAUACGAUCCAGCAAUCAUGCUCCCAGAGCAGCAUCCCGCGCCAGCUCUCAGAUAGAUGGAAAAGCUGCAGCAGCACAGAGAGCAGAAGCAGUCGAGAUGCAGGAGCCUUUCUCCUCUCCAGACGACAGUGCACCCCCGGCCCGCUAGUCCUUCCGGGCCUCCUGUCCACACCCAGCGCUCCAACUCCAUGUUUGCAUCCGCCUUCGCGACCCUCUGCAGUCUGGUGAGUCCCCCACCCACACAUUCGCCUCAUGGACUCGCUCCACACCUAUGAGCUCCCAUUCUGCAGGAGAAGUCAGGUGCGGGGAAUGGGAAUACAACGGACCCUCAUCCGGCCUGGGAGGGCCCCUCCAAGACCUCCAGCACCCCAACCCAGUUUGGCACAGGAUGCUCGUGUCCCCAGACAGCCGGUCAACUGCGAGCCCUCCGACACAGCUCAGCAGAGAGCCGGCGAGUCCCCCAGACACCAAGCCGAUGUGGAGUCCUGGACCCAGCUCUGCAAAGUGCAGCCCAGGUGUGCCUUGAGGGGUCCCCCAGACACCCAGCCAACUGCGAGCCCCCCGACCCAGCACAGCAAACGGUAGCCACGGGCCCUUGCUUUUCUCCCUUCAGGACCCCACCCAGUUGCACACCAGGCGUCAAGCCCAAGGUUUCCGUUGCCAUUCCGAGUCAUCAUCUGCCUGUGGCCAUCAGCACCUGUGCCAGGCCCAGGUGAGCUGGCUGGAAGACGCUGCUACCUGGUAGAAGAAAAUACCUUAUACCAGUCAUUGUGUGCCACUGUACCGCACUCUGAGAAUCUGAGCCCGAAAGUCGCAGACAGAAGAAUGGCCUCAGAAACUUCCCAUUGCCUCCUGGCAACCAUGGCUGUGGCCACAUCCUUGGCUCCCAGGACGUGCCCCAGCUGCCAGAAAGGGAAGAGUCAAUCCCAAUGGCCCCUCCCACACCACAAUUGGAUCAAUCUGUGAUACAGAUGUAAGGCCAGGAAAGGGGGCAGGAAGAACAGCCUAAACUCAAAGAAGCAGAGUGUCUUGACCCAGACAUGAGAAAUCUGAGGCUCCCAGUCCAGGAAAUCCGUCUCUACUGGAGAGCAGGCCAGGGGCUGUCUGUGAAUGCGGAGAUCGCUGCCUCUGUCGGAGGCGCACUUGGAAGUGCCAGUGAUUCUUGGCCAAGUGCCAAGGCCUGGCCAGUGCUUUGAGCCAUUCAGAGCACAGUUCCCCUGUGCCCAGGUGCUGGUGGGUUCAUGGCCUGAAGACCUCUGGUUUGGGACCAACGUCAGCCUGAUGACCUGGUGGCGUAUCACCUGGGAGCCUUUUUCUUCUGGGGAGUUCUCUUGUUCAGAAGGAGCAAAGGCUGCCAUGCCUUAGAACAGAGAAUAACUGGCAUUUGGAAGAGCUGUCCAUGGAAAUCCAACUUACAGAGCAAGCGUAGCAGACUGAGGGAAAGCUGAAACUGAUGAAAACAGCUCUUGACACCAGCAG
rnacentral:lncRNA from 1 species